rnacentral:rRNA from 1 species
CCUACGGGCGGCAGCAGUGAGGAAUAUUGGUCAAUGGGCGAGAGCCUGAACCAGCCAAGUCGCGUGAGGGAAGACGGUCCUAUGGAUUGUAAACCUCUUUUGUCGGGGAGCAAAAAGGCCUCGUGAGGCCACAAGCGAGAGUACCCGAAGAAAAAGCAUCGGCUAACUCCGUGCCAGCAGCCGCGGUAAUACGGAGGAUGCGAGCGUUAUCCGGAUUUAUUGGGUUUAAAGGGUGCGUAGGCGGACUGGAAAGUCAGCGGUAAAAUCGAGAGGCUCAACCUCUUUCCGCCGUUGAAACUGUCGGUCUUGAGUGGGCGAGAAGUAUGCGGAAUGCGUGGUGUAGCGGUGAAAUGCAUAGAUAUCACGCAGAACUCCGAUUGCGAAGGCAGCAUACCGGCGCCCGACUGACGCUGAGGCACGAAAGCGUGGGUAUCGAAC